rfam:Streptomyces albireticuli strain MDJK11, complete genome.
CUUCAGGGAGCCGAGCCACAGCGGCUGGUCGUCGGCGCGCUCCUGACCGUACGUGGCCAGCAGCGCCUGCGCCUC